rnacentral:rRNA from 1 species
UACGGAGGGUGCAAGCGUUAAUCGGAAUUACUGGGCGUAAAGCGCACGCAGGCGGUCUGUCAAGUCGGAUGUGAAAUCCCCGGGCUCAACCUGGGAACUGCAUCCGAAACUGGCAGGCUAGAGUCUUGUAGAGGGGGGUAGAAUUCCAGGUGUAGCGGUGAAAUGCGUAGAGAUCUGGAGGAAUACCGGUGGCGAAGGCGGCCCCCUGGACAAAGACUGACGCUCAGGUGCGAAAGCGUGGGGAGCAAACAGGAUUAGAUACCCUGGUAGUCCACGCCGUAAAGGAUGUCGACAUGGGGGUUGGGGCCUUGGGGCGUGGCUUCCGGAGCUAACGCGUUAAGUCGACCGCCUGGGGAGUACGGCCGCAAGGUUAAA